GGUCUUAUAGUUGAAAUAACAACAUUAAAUUGCAAAUNUAAGAGUGUAACUCUAUAUACUAAGGCUU
rnacentral:tRNA from 1 species